CCUACGGGUGGCAGCAGUGAGGAAUAUUGGUCAAUGGGCGAGAGCCUGAACCAGCCAAGUCGCGUGAGGGAGGACGGCCCUACGGGUUGUAAACCUCUUUUGCCGGGGGACAAACGGCGGCACGCGUGCCGUCCUGAGGGUCCCCGGAGAAAAAGCAUCGGCUAACUCCGUGCCAGCAGCCGCGGUAAUACGGGGGAUGCGAGCGUUAUCCGGAUUUAUUGGGUUUAAAGGGUGCGUAGGCGGGAUGCCAAGUCAGCGGUAAAAUACGGGGGCUCAACCUGCGUCCGCCGGUGAAACUGGCGUUAUUGAGUGGGCGAGAAGUACGCGGAAUGCGUGGUGUAGCGGGGAAAUGAAGAGAUAGCACGCAGAACCCCGAUUGCGAAGGCAGCGUACCGGCGCCCGACUGACGCUGAAGCACGAAAGCGUGGGUAUCGAAAAGGAUUAGAUACCCCGGUAGUC
rnacentral:rRNA from 1 species